rnacentral:lncRNA from 1 species
CAAAGAGAGGCUGUUGAUAUUGGUCACAGGGGAUGGGCCAUUACCAUUGUGACGUCGGCGCCCAUGGCUACUCUCCCUUUUCGAAACGUUUUGAAAGACAAUGCAACCGUCCCCAUGGAAUCUUAUUGGAGCUCUAGUUGAAAAACGCCCAAAAGAUUUAUGUUAUACAACGUUUGACAUGUUUGAACGAACUUAAAUAUAUAUUUUUUGCUCAUUCCUGACGACAAGUCCGACGCACACGGUACAUUUUCAGUAGCCUUAGAGCGCGCUAACACUAUUGGGACAUAAAUUAUUAACUUUUUCGAACAAAACUACAUUUGUUAUGGACCUUGUAUUCCUAGAAGUGCCUUCUGAUAAAGAUAAUCAAAGGUGGCGAAUCGCAUCUCUGCAUGUCUGGCAGACAUAUCAGUGUGGAUGACGGAUCACCACCUCAAGCUGAACCUCGACAAG